UCGGUCCAACAACUGAUAUCAGAAUUAUGAAUUUGAGUUGCUCAAGUCUUUUUUAGACAAACAGAAAGUACUACCCAAAAGGGUAGAUCUAUGGUUAUAAAUUUGAUACUAUUAGGAAUAUUACUUUUUUGUAUAUAUUUUUUUGAGACUGGUUAUUUAACCGUAGUAAAAAACCACUUUCUACAUUAAAAAAAAUCACAAAAUCAUUUAAUCCAAUCGUGUUCUUGACUUUAAAAAAAUCAUGUAAAACAUGACUAUCUCCCCUUCCACUCUAAUUUCCCAAAUCUGUCCCAAACGGUGGUGUAUGAACUCUCUCUCCCUCCCUCUCUCUCAAAAUCUCUCUCUCGCUCGACACUCUCUCGCUUGAAUCUCAGUGUCCACUUUCCACUCUCUCUGGCUCGACUCUCGCGUGAUGAAGAUUUGAAGAUUUUGAUCGAUAUUUGAUGAAGAUUUGAUGAUUUCGAUCUGCUGUAGAUGAAGAUUUCGAUCGAUUCAUAAUCGAGACUAUAAUCGGUUCUUGAAAGCAAGGAAGUUUGAUAUUGAAAAAGCAAAGCACAUGUGGGCUGAAAUGCUCCAAUGGAGAAAAGAUUUUGGUGUUGACACUAUUAUGGAGGUAAUGACAUUGGACAUUUUGCCUUGGGGUUGUUGUGUGGGCUCUCCAUAUUAUUUUCUGCCGCGGAUUUGAAUUAAUUUAUGCUUUACUUGUUGAUUUUUUUCAUCAAGAUUUUGAAUUUAAAUAGUUGAAUGAAGUUUUGAAGUAUUACCCACAUGGUAAUCACGGUGUAGAUAGGGAGGGAAGACUUGUCUAUAUUGAAAGAUUGGGAAAAGUUGAUCCAAACAAACUUAAGCAAGUUAUCACAAUGGAUCGAUAUAUAAAACACCAUGUCAGGGAAUUUGAGAAAAACUUUGCAAUUAAGUUUCUAGCUGGUACUGUUGCUGCAAAAAGGCAUAUAGAGAUGUUCAAGGGGUGGUAUGUGGCCUCUUGUGUUUUCCUAA